UGAAAGAACACGGUUUAAUUUGGCUCUGGAAAGUGGCAACAUACAGAUUGCCGUCGCUUCAGCCAAAGAAAUUGACGAGAAAGAUCAUUGGUACAGGCUAGGAGUGGAAGCUCUGCGCCAAGGCAAUGCAGGUAUCGUGGAAUACGCCUAUCAGAGAACGCAGAAUUUCGUGCCUAUCAGAGAACGCAGAAUUUUGAGAGGUUGUCUUUCUUAUAUCUGAUCACAGGGAAUAUAGAAAAACUGUCAAAGAUGCUGAAAAUUGCCGAGGUUAAGAAUGAUGUCAUGGGUCAGUUCCACAAUGCCCUCUAUUUGGGCGACAUUCACGAGCGUGUGAAGAUACUCGAGACUUCUGGUCAGAUACCCUUGGCCUACAUCACAGCUAAAGUGCACGGGCUCGAGGAAGUAGCCGAGCGUCUAGCAGCAGAUUUGGGAGAUAAUGUUCCUUUUGGGAGAUAAUAUUCCGUCUUUGCCCGAGGGUAAAGUGCCGUCUCUCCUGAUGCCUCCAACCCCCAUCAUGAGUUCUGGUGAUUGGCCCCUACUGAGGGUUAUGAAAGGAAUCUUCGAAGGUGGACUCGAAAACAUGGCAAGAGCGGACGAUGACGAUGAAGAAGAAGCAAUCGAAG
rnacentral:lncRNA from 1 species